AGAAUAACUUUUAAAUUCCAUGUUAGGUAAAGCUCCAUGAAACUGUAAAAGGUUCAGCACAUCCCUCUUGCCCCUCAAACGCUUCAAGAGAAAGAGCAAGAGGCAAAAGCUAGCUUCUUCCCUCCUCUGCCAAGCCAGUUGAAUUUCAGCGCGAAGUGGUUGGUGAGGAUGUGGCGAAGGAUUCUUCCGAACCGCGUCACCAGGAUUGCAGCCCCCAAGCGCACUAAGGUGUGCUGCCUGCAGGUAAGAAUGGAAAGUAAUGUUUUAGAAUAACUUAUUAUGGCUUAUAGUCAGCAUACCGUUCAAAAUUAACAUCUUUGGUAAUGCGAAAAGUUCAUUAAACACCGCACACUGGAUACUGUUCUUUUUUCUCAAAGGCGUUUCGCCCAAUGCGUCUUCAGGUUCGAACCUGAAAACGCAUUGGGCGAAACGCGUUGUUCGCUCCUAAAAAUAAAGAGAAAAAAAGAACAGUAUCCAGUGUGCGGUGUUUAAUGAACUUUUCAUAUUUGAUCACGUUUUCCUGCCUAACACCUGCACCUGGAAAGCUGAAGGGUUGUGCACAAGGACUUUCAUGCACUUUGAUCUUUGUUGAUGCAUUGUAGCAAAGAACUGAAAUAUAUCAGUAUUAUAGAAGUCAUGACUAUACCAGGGCCUUUUCCUGGGAUUUCUCCCUCAGAAGAUCCUCCAUCCUUUGAAGGUCUUCCUCGCAGUUCAUUGGGAACUUAAAUUCCUCAGAUAGAGUGUCUGCUGCUGCUGUCGUUUUUUGCCUAGUAAGGGCCUGGAGGAGGAGGUUGUUCUGCCUCACCAAGGCCUUCAACUCCUCCACAGCACGCAGGAGUGCAUGAUCCCGUUCUACAGGACAGAAAAACAUCAUGACUGUCAUGUCAAGAGGUGCUCCUGGUUUGGGCUUUUUUCAGGUUCAUACGCGCUGCAUCAUAAUUGGCUGUUGAAGACAACAAUGAAGUCUCAUCUGGCAUAGCGCUUUGGAUGACUGCAAUUUUCGUCCGCUUGGUGUCUUUAUACGGUGGCCAAAAAGACACCUUGUCAGCUCAAACUUAGCCACGAGCAAGGCACAACCUCCACCUCAUUUGACUCGUUCCCAUCUCUCAGACUUACCUGAUCCUCCAUCCAAACUCUGAUGUUGGAAUCCAUGCUGUCCAGUCCAUGUGAAGAGCACAGGAAGCACACUUAAUAGUAGGGUAUCACCAUAUGUCUGGUUGAGCUCCACAAAAGAUCUCGUCUGGCUCAGCUGUUUGAAGCGCAUCUACCUAAAUGUGUCAUUGUAAGGUGGUCUCCCUCUCUCCCUCCCCACCUCCCUCUCUCCCUCCCCACCUCCCUCUCUCCCUCCCUCCCUUAUCACUCCUAGGCACACCAGGUGCAAAGUCCAGCACAAAUUGGGUCACCAAGCCUACAUCUAGGUGUUGUAAUGGACUGUCCGCUUUUAAAGCCUAAGGGGAGAAAAGUGACCUGGGCCCUCUUGCAUGCACCUUUCGCAGUGGUAAUAGGAAUUGUGUGCUUUUAUUUUUUUUUAGAAAUGCCCAUGCCUGUGCAUCACAGACAAAACAGGAAAUUUCGAUUUUACUUAGAACAGUAACCCGGCUUGCGGAGGUACCUUCCCUUACACCCAAACUCCUUUUCUGUACAUAGUUUCUCAUUUAUUUAUUUUGUCUGUUCAGUCAAAUUGCAAAGAUUGUAUUUAUAUAUUGCAUUUCAUUUUCAUCAGUU
ensembl:lncRNA